AGGGUUUGAUUAUGGCUCAGGAUGAACGCUGGCGGCAUGCCUAAUACAUGCAAGUCGAACGGACGGAAGAGAAAAGCUUGCUUUUUUUGGAAGUCAGUGGCGAACGGGUGAGUAACACGUAGGUAACCUGCCCAUGUGCCCGGGAUAAUUUCUGGAAACGGAAACUAAAACCGGAUAGGUAGGGAUCUCGCAUGAGGACCUUAUUAAAGGGGCUACGGCCCUGAACAUGGAUGGACCUGCGGUGCAUUAGCUGGUUGGUGGGGUAACGGCCUACCAAGGCGACGAUGCAUAGCCGACCUGAGAGGGCGAACGGCCACAUUGGGACUGAGACACGGCCCAA
rnacentral:rRNA from 1 species